AGGGAGGUGUGCUGGCGUUUCUUGAAUCCGGUGUUCCCAAAGAGAGGGCUGGCUUUUCUCCCUCGGGCUGUGGUCGCUGAUUCUCUGGGUCUCUUUUCUGUUUCCUCUCAGGCUGUCCCAAACUUAAUUUCUAUGCAGACCAAAGACUCUUCUUCCAACACGGAGUGAAGACGCCCCUAAACCGCGGUGUGAGCAUUUCUGCGAUGGCCAGAGGAGAGAAGGGGAACGGCGAGGGGCCAGACUGAGAAAUAGAUCCCAAAGGGCUCAGGGAGACAAGAGAAGCUGUGGGGUCAGAGGAGCCCAGAGGAGUGACGCCUAACUCAGCCAGUGAGUGGGAAAUCAGAGAAGUCUUCCUGGAGGAGAUGAGAUCCAAGCUGAGUAUUAGAAGACGAGAAGACAGAGCCCACAAAGGGAAGGGAAAUCCAGCCAGAGGGAACAGAAUGAGAAGAGGAAUAGGGCACCGUGGAUAGACUCCCAAGGAGGAGGGGGGACAAAAUCUGCUCCUUGAUGAAGGAAGAAGAUGGAGAGCAAGCAGCAGGGAGGAGGGUGUCACAGGAAGCUGAACACCAUAGCCUCCGUUUCACCAGAACUGGGGAAAACCUGGCUGCAUGUGUUACUGCUCCAAGAGCUUCAGAAGGUCAUGGCCAAGGUGGAGCAAAGGACCCGGACAGAAGAGAUGACUUGCCCCAAGCCACACUGUGAGGUUGGGGGCAGGGGACGGGAGGGCCAGGGAUGGUGUUCUUCUAGGACCUGAACUGUUCCAGAACAACUUCCUAACAUGCCUCGGAAUCUCGACCUCCCAACCACCCAGGAGGCAACCACAGAGCAAGGUCCUCCAUCUCGGCAGGCGUCCCUCCUUCUGGUCCAGGACCUCCCACGCAUCGAGUGCACGACGCUCGGCUUCUGGGUCUCGAAGACCAAGCAGGACAAUCGAUUGGUUUUCCCCUCCAGGCCUUGCGGAGUGCGCAUUGGCUUUGGAUUGGACGCCCGGAAAAGACGGGGCAAGCGGAGAGCAGGUGGAGGCGGGUCCCCAGGAUGCGGGGCUUCGUGCCGCGUCAGCACCGCCUGCAGGAGGUACUUGAAGCCCGAGUGCGGGGUCCUGUCGCGGGGGGGCGGGGUCCCCUGACUCCCCAGUGCAGUUGGUUCUAAGUCUGGUCAAGCCCGCCCUUUACGUCGCCCCCUGGCCGUGCUCAGAGGCCCUGUGGUCUCCUGCUCAGUGGUCUCAUUAGUCUUACCCACUCUUGUAGCCCCCCGUUGAGAAGCCCUGUUUUUGAGAAGAAAUCACAGCAAGCAGCCCUCUGUGCCCAAAGCAGGGUUGGGGGGCGUCUAGGUUCCUGAACGCCUGUCUACACUCCAGAACUCUGGGGGUUUGCCUCCAAGCAUAUUCCCGUUCUUCCUUGGUUGCCCAUAAUAAAAGUAGCAUGGCGGCCUUGCAACAUUCACUACCAACCCCUCCCCCCACCGCCGCGUCACCAUUUCUUCAGCUGGGGAGGGAGAUAAAUUAGAGUAAUAAGAUUUGAAAAACAAAUUGCAACACCAAAAAAGCCAUGUUACAUAACGCAGUGCCAUUUUACAGAACAAGUUGUCAACAAAAAUAGGACUAGUUAAUUCUCUGGAAGCAAAAUUAAUUAAAAAUUCACAGGAGAUGCCAGAACACUUCGCUAGGAGGUUUUAAGAAGUAUUGGGAAUCUGGAAAAUUCCUCGCUAUAUGGGUACAAAUAAUCCAAAGCUAAAGCUCCGGAAGUGCAGGUUUCUGCCAGAGUUGGGGGGUGCGGGCUGCUUGCCUCCCCUUUGCAGGGGCUGAGUGGGGCCGGGAGCUCUGGUGGGACAUUCUCUCCUGUGGAAGUCAUAUCAUGGAUAAAUUCAGUAGAGGAUUGGCAAGCAAAAAAUAAAAGAGAGGAGGAAUUUCAAAAGUGCAGGCAGUUCAUUCUCUUCCAUUCCAGAACUGAGCCUGAGAGGGCCGGGCCCCCAGGCGGUCCCAACUCCUUAUACCUCUUAAAGUGCAGUUAUUUAUUUCUCCAGGCUUAAGGGCAAUUGGAGGUGUUCGUUUGUUUUUAAAAUACCUUUUGAGGGGCACCUGGGUGAUUAACUUGGUUAGACAUUCGACUUGAUCUCAGCUUCAUGAUCUCAGGGUCAUGAGUUCAAGCCCCAUGUUGGGCUCCAACGUGGGUGCAAAGCCUACUUAUAAAAAAAAAAUUUUUUUUAAAAUAUCUUCUGCUAUUGUGCUGAGCAUAGAAUAUGACCUUUAUGAAGAAGCAUAACACAACCUUCAUAGAAAAGAAUAUUACUUCAGUGGCUGGUUCAUCUGGUGGGUGUAUGUUUCACAUCUUAAGAAACCAUGGGACUCUCUUCCAGAGUGUUUGUACAAUUUUACAUUCCCACCAACAGCGUAUGAGGGUUCCAUCUUCUUCUUUUUUUUUUUUUAAUUUUUUUAU